UACGUAGGGUGCAAGCGUUAAUCGGAAUUACUGGGCGUAAAGCGUGCGCAGGCGGUGAUGUAAGACAGUUGUGAAAUCCCCGGGCUCAACCUGGGAACUGCAUCUGUGACUGCAUUGCUGGAGUGCGGCAGAGGGGGAUGGAAUUCCACGUGUAGCAGUGAAAUGCGUAGAGAUGUGGAGGAAUACCGAUGGCGAAGGCAGCCCCCUGGGUCGAUACUGACGCUCAUGCACGAAAGCGUGGGGAGCAAACAGG
rnacentral:rRNA from 1 species